UAUGUUUUAUUGUAAGAUGCAUUUAGAAUUUUGAUUUCUGAGGUUUUAGUUUAAUUCUAAAAAAUAUAA
rnacentral:tRNA from 1 species